rnacentral:misc_RNA from 1 species
GAUGAAGAACGUAGCGAAAUGCGAUAAGUAAUGUGAAUUGCAGAAUUCAGUGAAUCAUCGAAUCUUUGAACGCACAUUGCGCCCGCCAGUAUUCUGGCGGGCAUGCCUGUUCGAGCGUCAUUACAACCCUCAGGCCCCCGGGCCUGGCGUUGGGGAUCGGCGGAAGCCCCCUGCGGGCACAACGCCGUCCCCCAAAUACAGUGGCGGUCCCGGCAGCUUCCAUUGCGUAGUAGCUAACACCUCGCAACUGGAGAGCGGCGCGGCCACGCCGUAAAACACCCAACUUCUGAAUGUUGACCUCGAAUCAGGUAGGAAUACCCGCUGAACUUAAGCAUAUCAAUAAGCGGAGGA